AGUGGAAUUGCUAGGUCAUAUGGUGACUAUUGUUUAGCUUUUUGAGGAACUGCCAAACUAUUUCCCAAAGUGGCCACACCAUUUUACAUUUCCCCCAGCAAU
rnacentral:pre_miRNA from 3 species